rnacentral:misc_RNA from 1 species
CCGAGUUUACAACUCCCAAACCCCUGUGAACAUACCACUUGUUGCCUCGGCGGAUCCAGCCCGCUCCCCGGUAAAACGGGACGGCCCGCCGCAGGAUCCACUAAACUCUGUUUUUAUAUGUAACUUCUGAGUAACAAACAUAAAUAAAUCA